AGGUUGGAAUAAGAAAACACCUUCCUAAGUGGGCUUAGCAUAGAUGUAUUCCCCAGUAAAAUGUUUCCUCUUUAAUGAGGAAACAUAGGCUCAGAAUUUGAAAAGAUUUAUCUCUCUAAAGCCUAAAAAACAAUUUUUAGAAAGGUAUUCAUUUUCAUGAAUGGGGUAUAAUAUUUCCAGAGAUGGAAUUUAUCUGGAAUAGUAUAAGCUUUGGCUCUUUGCAAAGAAUCAAAGUUACCAAAGCAACUGCAUUCAGUACUUGAUUAUAGAGGAUAGACAAGAUUUGAAGCACAUCAUUUGACUGUUUUUCUUCCACCAGAAUUUUAAAACCAAGAUAAAAGGUAGCAUUAUGAAAUCUGUAAAACUUCCUUUGAGAUAAAACAAGAGUCAUGAUUUUAGAAAGAAUAUCACACAAAUUAUCAAAAGAAAAUGGAAAUUCCAAUUUGGACAAUCAUUCUUUUUGCCCACUGCUCUACAGAUUUCAGAGACUUUAGUUUUGACUCUAAAAUGCUUUAGUAAGUAUUCAUUUGCAGAAUUAUGUGCUAAUACAGUGAAUCAGUAUAUAGAAGAUGCCCUCUUCAAAGUUGCCUUAUUUCAUAUGCAAAUAAUAAAUGAUUUUCUGUGACUUAAUUUAUUUACCAAAUGAAUAGCAGUAAAAUAUACCCUUUAUAUAGAUUUGGACCUACAUAGAUUCAAAUGAGGUAUGCAAGUAAAUUAUAUAUGUUCAAUUAAUUUUAUAGGAAAAAUAGAUAUUUAAAGAUAUAUCCAAAAUGAUGGCUUAGUAAUUGUCACAUAAAUUUAAUAUUUGAGAGAGACAGAACUAGGGAGAGUUUCAUAUGCCAAGGCAUUGCACAGCACUGUGAUGUUUCCUGAGAAACACCAAAGCAACUGAGUUCUAGCCACAUGCCAUUGCAUCACAUAUCUUAAUAAUUUAAAAACUCCUCUUUAAACUUAUACAGUGAAGAUUCAAAACCUGACGUAAACAUAAUUAAGACUAAGUGUUUUAUUAUUUACUUCUUGUUUGGUUUCAAUGAGUCCAUAAGAUUAAAUGAAUGGAAAGGCAAACAACUAAUGUUGUUUAAUACAGUAAUAUUAUUCACAGUCUUCCUCUGUAAAAAUCCAGCCUACAGAUGUGUGUGUGUGUGUGUGUGUGUGUGUGUGUGUGUGUGUUUGUGUCUGUCUUUGAACAUGUAUGUAUAUGCACCUUGAGGAAGGCGCAUAUAAGGAACCUUCCUCAAGGUGGGAAAUAAACCUUGGGAAUUUGAAUCCUUUCUCUCUCAUUCCAGCUAUAUGCACUUGGUAAGUUCACCAAUACUUAAAUACCACAAUUUGCACAUCUUUAAAAAAAAAAAAAAGAUAAUGAUUGUUACCUCAAAGGGCUGCAGAAUACCCUCCCAACAAACAUUUGGUGCUGGAAUCAGCUCACACUGGCAUGCAAAAGCCAAAUGUAUGCAUCUUUUUUUUAGCUCCCAUUCAGUGAUAUCACAUUGGCAGCCUUGAAAGCAGACUUGUUGGAAGUAGUCAUUCCAUGAAAAUCAACAGGACAUAUCACCUCCCCCUGCCCAGAAGCAGUUUUAAUAGGACACAACUGAAUGUCAUAUUGUAUGUAGACAAUGAAUAAUAGUUCUUUAGUCAUUAUUAUUAUUAUUAUUAUUGUCUUUUUGUCCUUUUAGGGCUGCACCCAUGGCAUAUGGAGGUUCCCAGGAUAGGGUCUUAUCAGAGCGGGAGCCGCUGGCCUACACCAGAGCCACCGCAAUGCCAGAUCCAAGCCUCAGCUGUGACCUACACCACAGCUUAGGGCAAUGCUGCCACACAUCCUUAACCCAAUGAGUGAGGCCAGGGAUCGAAUCUGAAACCUGGUGGUUCCUAGUUAAAUUCAUCUCCGCUGAGCCAUUAUGGGAACUCUGUUCUUUAGCCAUUAUUAAGCCAUUUAAAUAGUAGCUAUAUCUGGACUCAUGUAUAAAUUAGAAAUAUAUAUGAACAUCUAAGAGACUGUGAAUAAAAGUAUCUUUAAGUUAAGAUCUGAAGAUCAGUAAUAUAUAGCAAUAGUAAUAACAACAAAAAUUAGAAAUUCUGAAUUUCUAAAUUAAAUAAUCUUCAGUGGCUCUCAAUAUACAGACAUUUAUAUAGAAUUAGACAACUUUCCUAGAAUUUUGUGAUUAAUAUAAUUUAUUGCACUGCUGCCAUCAUUCCAAUGGUGUAAAGUAUUUAUCUAGGUUUGCUUUUGGAAUUCAGAGAGCUGUUUGUGAUUUCAUCUUUUCAUGUAUAUUUUGUUAGGUGUAUGCAUCUUCCCUUGGAGUCUAUAAUUUAUGCUACCUUCAAAAUGCUCUAAAUUCUUAAAACACAAAAUAAAAUGUAUUUUAAUGUCACAUUAGAGUGACUUUUUUUCUGGGAAAAAAUACAAAGUAAAUCAAUUUCUGUAGUUGCUAUUGGCAGGGAAUACCCUAGAUUCCCAUUAAAUCCAAUCCUAUAAUGGUGGUAACAGUUUUGUUUAUCUUUACUUUGUAUCAUGCUGUGAAUUUCAAUAGAAAUACUGUUUCCAAAUAUCCUUAAUGGAUUUUUUCCUACAGUAUGUGCAUUUAUUUAUGAGUGGGUAACUCUAUGUACUAGCUUUCAAAAAUGGAUAAAAUAUUGUAGAUUGUUGUUAUUUCAGUGAAGAAUUGUGUGAAUUGUUCUUUUAGGUAGAAUCAGGAGUUCGGUGAAAGUACACAAAAGAACAAAUAAAUCAAGUAAAAUAUAUAGGACUGUGCAAAGUAAGGUCCAUUCUCAUGAAAAGAAAAUACAUAUCUUAUCUGAUGAUUUUUCUUUGAUGCUAAAAGUUGCUGAUAAUCUAUGCAUGCUUGCCAUAAAAAGUCUUUCUUAUACACUGUUUUUCCUUGGGCACUUUGUUGUUUCUCUAUAUUCUUCACAAUGUGGACAUCAGUUGUUAGCUUUAAACAAAAAGUUUAAAAUGGCAAUGCUAGUUUAUAUGUCUAGAUAUGUGAGAUCUUGGAUCUGCAAUAAAAAUUACUGUAACUACAGAUAGAUGUACAAUAUGAAAGAAGAUUUUCAUCCAGAAAUUAAUUAUAAAGCAUUCUGGACAAAUGUUUAAAUUAUAUUUGAUAAUCACAUUUGACCAUCCAAUAGUAAAGCUUCAGAGUUGGAGACUAUCUCUAUCUUAAUGUGUACUACUGAAAUAAAUGGCAAGCUGGAUUCAGGCUUUGGGACUAUUCCAUUUCCUUUGAGCUUCUUAAUCUAGUUGUCAUGUAAAGGAGUUAUAUGUCUUGGAAUUUGAUCUUAAAAUCAAAAUCAUUCAAAGAUUUCUGCUUCCAUCCUAAUAGAGAAAUUUACACCCGAUUAGCCUUUCCAAUAUAAAUGAUUAAAAUAUAUGCAAAAUAUACAAAAAAUGCUAUUUUUAUAUAUUGCCUAAAAGGGAACACAAGUUUGUAAUUUUAACAGGUAAUAUGGAAAACAGAUCCCUGUCUGCCAAUAGCCAGAGGAGAGGGAGAUGAUUGGCUUUAUAGAAAUAUAGGGGGAUUUUGCAGGGCAAUGAACAUGCUCUGUGUCACUUUGUUGGUUGUUACACAACUCUACAUUAGACACAUGUGAGCAACUGAAACACACAAAAUUGGAGAAUUGUAUGCAUAUAAAUUAUUCCUCGACAAAAUGAUUAAAAGAACUGAUCAUAGACCUAAAUUUAAAAAGCCAGGAGUUCCUGUUGUGGCACAGUGGGUUAAGAACACAAUGUAGCAGCAUAUGGAGGUUCCCAGGCUAGGUGUCCAAUCGGAGCUGCAGCUGCUGGCCUACGCCACAGCCACAGUAAUGCCAGAUCCGAGACGUAUCUGUGACCUACACUGCAACUCACAGCAACACCAGAUUCUUAACCCACUGUGCAAGGCCAGGGAUCAAACCUGCGUCCUCAUGGAUGCUAGCCAGAUGUGUUUCUGCUGAGCCACUAGGGGAACUCCCAAAACACAUUUCUUAAGAAAAUAAAAACAGUUCCCAGCUGAAAGAAAAUAUUCAAUAUGUCUGUAUCUAUAGCUGUAUCUGUAUUCAUAAUUCUAUAUAUGAUAAAGUUUCUAUAUUUUCAAAAAAUCUUACAAUACAAUAAUAAAAUAAAAAUCAUUUUUUAAAAAGAGAAAAUGCAGCAGUCAUGACUAAACACUAAUAAACUAAAAUUCAAUGGCUCAAUAAUUUUACUUAUCAAGAAAAGGCAAAUUAAACCAUAAUUAGAUGUCAUUAUAUACCCUUCAGGGUGUCUAAUUUAGAAAAGACUGGUGAGGGAGUUUCCAUUGUGGUGCAGUGGAAACGAACCCAACUAGGGACCCUUAGGUUGCGGUUCGAUCCGGGGCUUCACUCAGUGGGUUAAGGAUCCGGCAUUGCCAUGAGCUGUGGUAUAGGUUACAGAUGUGGCUCCAAUCUGGCAUUGCUGUGGCUGUGGCAUAGGCUGGCAGCUGUAGCUCUGAUUGGACCCCUAGCCUGGGAACCUACAUAUGCCAGGGUGUGGCCUAAAAGGCAAAAAAAAAAAAAAAAAAAAAAAAAAAAAAAAAAAAAAAAGGCUGGUAAUACUAAGUGUUGAUGGGAAAAUAAAAUUCAAAAUUUUAUGCCAGGAAUUUAAAAUGAUACAACCACUUAGGAAACCUCUAGUAGUUUCUUAUUAAUUCAAACAACUUUUCCCAGAUGACCUAGGUAUUUACCCAAGAGGACUGAAAAUCUUUAUCUGCACAAAUACUUUUACUGAAAUAGUCAUAAACACUUACAAUCUUCCAAGCCUGGAAACAAUCAUGUGUCCUGAUAUCUUUUUACAUAGGUGUUUAUGUCUAACUAUGUUUCUGACAAUAGAAUAUGAACAGAUUGCUGUCUCUUGUAUGCUGUUUGUGUGAGGUGCCAGAGGGCACUAUCCUCUAUCUCUUUGUGCUUUUACUCCUUCACUUGGGAAGUUUCCAGUUAGAGCUCCAAGAUAGGAGAAGACUGACUUCCUAGAUCACCUAAUAGAGUUGUCUUCAAUUGUGGCAUGGGUAAUAAAUCAAUUCAUUUGCGUUAAGCCUUUGAGAUAGGAAUUUUGAUUUCUUAGAGCAUCUUGUACUACUUUAACUGACAUAGUUAAUAUUUUCAACUCUAAUGCAACUGAUUUUUAUAAGUACCACAAAUCUUGAAAACACAGUCUAGUAUAGAAAGAAAUGCCUAAAUUCUUUAGCAAAGCAUGUUGUACAUACUUUGUAAAGACGGACAUCUUAUGAUUGAAUUCUGUGUUUUUAUUUACAGUUCUUAAUCUGUUUUAUCACAAAUUCUGAGUUAGCAGAAAGCUAGUUUGUUUUCUCAUUAUCCAAACAAGGGUUUUCAGAAUUGUAUAAGAGGCAACACAUGAUAGUGAUCACU
rnacentral:lncRNA from 1 species